CAUCGCAGGAACGGCGAACCGCUAAGCGCAAAUCUACCCUCAUCAACUCACAGACGGACGAUGACGCGCGCACCGCCGUGAUUCAGAAGCAAGCUUGUAUGCAUAUACGUGUGUGUGUGUCCCAGAAUUGGUACCUGUCGAGGAGAGUCUCUCUCACUCUCCACCCCUCCCUCGCCUCCCCCCCACUCGCUCGCUGUCGCCGCGAAGUUGGUGAAAUGAUGUGGUGGUCGCGAGGGUCUGAGGGCGACAAGGCAAGCUCUGUGCCUGCGAACGCACAGACUACGCAGGAUGUGCUUGCAUCCAUCUUUACGCCGGCCAAUCGCGCACUUGCGCCACCGAGCGCCUCUGUCGACGGCAGUGACGUGAGGAGCGCUGCGUCGUCGUCGAGCGUUGUGCACACGGCAUCCGCCAAGGCGCGCUCAUCAGCAGCACCACCCGAAGGGACAGCACCGGCGAUCUUGGGAAGCCGUCACGAAGGCGUGGAUGCGAGCGAAAGCCCGACUACGUGGUGGACAAGCCUCGGCAAGUGGCGGUCGUCCACGCCGCUACCGCGCAGCGUCGAUGCAUCCGCACCAAAGUCGGCACUCUCCUCUACUACGAUAAGCACAAGCCCUAUGCGCGCCUCCGAGAUCGCAGACAAGGCAGCGGUCGGUGCUGCUACAGCCAUGGAUGCUGUAUCGUGGCAGACACUCCCCGACUGCCCACUGGCCGGCUACAAGCUCACAUGUCAGGGUUUGGUCGACAGGCUGACUAAGCCACCGCGCACACUCACCGCGACGGAGCUGCGGAGUUUGAUCAAGGAGCUUACAGCGGUGGAGCAGCAGGCCAAGUACAACGUGGACCGGCAGUUCAGUAGUCACAUUGGCAGUCGCGGCCUGCAUGGGUUGGAGCUGCUCAUCAACCCAGGCCUUUGGUUCACGUCCAUCUAUCUGAUGACGUGGAAGACGGCGCGGCUCUACCACAACGCUCUGCCGCAGAAUUCGGUGUUGUUCACUCGGCUGCUCGCAUUGAUGCGGCUCCGCAUGCCGGUGGAGCAGCGGGAGCUCGUGGCGCAACGGCACCAACGGCUGAUGCGAGCCACCAACGCGCGAGUCAGUCUGUCCUUCCUGAGCGGUGUCGCUCUCUUCGCGUUGGCGUGGGUGUCGCAGCCGCCAGCCAACGUCAUGGAAGAGGCAUCUGACGUGCAGAUAGCCAAGGAGUUGAUCGGCUACCAGCGCCACCUCGAGGCAUCGUUGAAAUGGUGCUGGUACGUGUACUACCACCACCCUGCCUACUCAUCAGCGAGUGGGGGCAACGAUAAGAGGAGCAGUAGGUAAGGCAAGCCACCCUUCGUGUCUCUGCCUCUCUGUGUGGCGAGCGGCAUUCGGCGAGAGGUAUGGAAUCAAAGAAGAGGGUAGAGGCCUGAUAGCGGCGAGGGUUCAUGGCCGUCGAUUGGUGACUGCGACAUCAUCACAGACGUGCACGCGUGCACGACGAGUGCGGUAGACAGAAACAGCAAGCGCGAGAAGAUCAGAUUGCCAUGUGGCGGGGUGCACCAGGCACAUACUCGCCGAGCGAGAGAGGGAUUACAGCGGGGAAGAGCAAGUGAGGUGGGAGGAACACCGGUGAAGAUGAUCGGCGGUGCCCACUCCGUUAUCGUGACCCCUCUCUUCUCCCCCACACGUGCACAUGCGUUUUUCUGUGUCGUUCGCAAGUGAAAAACAACGGGAGUCGAGCAUCCCCACAUCAACAUCACCGGCGACGUGUCGUCAAGGCACCGUACCACACGAGCACACUUCUAACAGAAAAGGUGGAACGCUCACAUACACGUGCAGAGAGUCUCGCAUCUGCGCACCUUCAGCACGACGUGGGUGCGCGCGUGUACACCUCCACCACCGCUUUUUUUUUCUUUCUCUCUGUUGCACUUAG
rnacentral:misc_RNA from 1 species